rnacentral:rRNA from 1 species
AACGAACGCUGGCGGCAGGCUUAACACAUGCAAGUCGAGCGCCCCGCAAGGGGAGCGGCAGACGGGUGAGUAACGCGUGGGAAUCUACCCAUCCCUACGGAACAACUCAGGGAAACUUGAGCUAAUACCGUAUACGCCCUUCGGGGGAAAGAUUUAUCGGGGAUGGAUGAGCCCGCGUUGGAUUAGCUAGUUGGUGAGGUAAUGGCUCACCAAGGCGACGAUCCAUAGCUGGUCUGAGAGGACGAUCAGCCACACUGGGACUGAGACACGGCCCAGACUCCUACGGGAGGCAGCAGUGGGGAAUAUUGGACAAUGGGCGCAAGCCUGAUCCAGCCAUGCCGCGUGAGUGAUGACGGCCCUAGGGUUGUAAAGCUCUUUCGACGGUGAAGAUAAUGACGGUAACCGGAGAAGAAGCCCCGGCUAACUUCGUGCCAGCCGCCGCGGUAACAC